GCGGGAAUAGCUCAGUUGGUAGAGCACGACCUUGCCAAGGUCGGGGUCGCGAGUUCGAGUCU
rnacentral:tRNA from 5 species